rnacentral:lncRNA from 1 species
AAAGGUUAAAGGAGGUUCUUCAGGCUGAAGAAUGGAAACUCACCUUGAGGAAGCAAGAAGAGCAUCAGAUGUGAUAAAUAUGCAGGUAGAUAAAGACUCUUUUCUCUUGGUUUCUUUAUAAUACAUGUAAGUAUUUAACCCUCAAACUCUAAUACUGUAUUCUGGAGUUCAUAGUUUAUGUACAGAUAGUAUACAUGACAACUAUAGCAUAAAGUCUAGAGGUGAGAUAAUGGACUCAUUAUGGUUGCAUGAUUUCUCCGUUUUACAUGAAGUGGUACAGUAUUAGCUCUAAGCAGGUUGCGAUAAAUGAAGAAUGUAUAUUGCAAUCUUAGAGAAAUUCAUAAAAUAUAAUGCAAGAGAUAGAGCUAAAAAGCUGGUAGAUAAAUUAAAAUGAUAUUCUUUUAAAAAAAAAACCUCUAAAAGGAACAGAAAAUAUAAGAUAUGAAGAGAAAACACUGGUAAUAUGGUAGACUUAAGCCAUAGCAAUAAUUAUAUUAAAUGUGAAUGGACUAAACACUUAAUGGAGAUAGGACCAACACAGCCUGACUUUUUAGUCCUCAGGGAUGUUUUUAAGGGGCCAUGGAAGUGCUUUGGGAUUUCAGGAGACAGUGCAGCUAUGGAAAUCAUAUUCUCGCCCUGCUAGAUUGACUGAUAUUGAUGAAUAAAAGGAAAUGAGCAGACAAAAGGAAAUGAACUAUUUAGAGCAAAUGUGAGGCAUGGGCUCUGGUUUGUCCAGCUCUUCUGGCCGUGAUUCAGCAUUAUACAGUUUCAGUCAGAGCUAAAACUGGUUCUCCUUCAAUGCUGAGAGCCAGCUGGAGCUGGGGUUGAAGUAUGGGGCAAGGUGCCUCUGUGUCUUUUCUCCUGUUCCACCUGGCUGCAUCCUGUCCAUCUUUAAGCAAGUCAUACCACUAAGCUUUUCCCCUCCCACACCCCUUAAAGCCAUAAAAUGUGUGGAGCUGUGUGCUGAUUUGUUAAGUUCACCUGUCUUUCCUCUGGACCCCCAAGAGAUUUUGAGGACAGAGUGUCUUGAUGUGUCCUUUCAGACUGAUAUACAGGAGGCCUCAUGUGGGCGACUUAUUAAGUGGUGUCUAAAUCCUUGGCAUAGAGGAUACAGCUAGCACAAUGGCAUGUUUUUAGUUCUCUGAUGCAGGAAGGGGGGUAUGCCGUGUACUGCUUGCUUGGGCAAGCAAUGUUUACACCCACAUACCUCUCCUCAAGAAAAAGGACUAGGAAAUAGAUUCAUCAACUUGAAAAGAGUAAAUGAGAUGAUAGUCCAUAGAACUAGUUCUUGUCUUUUUUUCUCCUUGCCUGAUUGGCCUGUUAUCUGCUGAUAACUUUUUAAAGCACCUCCUGAAAUUGAGGCUAUGUAAAGCAUUGUGGGGCUUAAGUGUGACCCAGGGGGUUUGGGCACAGUGAAUUUUGUUUGCUUUGAGAGAAUGAUGCUGUUUGCAGGCACUCUGACAAGGGAGCCAAACCUUCUAUGUUUCAUUAAGACUUUGCACUAGAUAACAUAAACUAAUUCUCCAAGUAUACAUUGGCAUUCCCUGGUGGCCCAGCAGUUAAGGCUUUGGCCUUGCCACUGCUGUGAUUCCACCCCUGGCCCAGGAAUUUCCGUAUGCCAUGGGUGUGGCCAAAAAAUGUAUUCAUUGGCUUGAAUUGUAUUUAAGGGUCUAUAUUCAAUCUUUGAUAAAACUAUUAUCAAUCAGAUGACUUGCCUUAGACACUUUUUGAAAUGAGAUGGAGUGUAGCUUUAAAAUAGACACCUGUGGUCUUAGGAAAGCCACUUAACUUGUCUGAAUCUUAUGACAAAAGUAAGUUAAUUGGACACCUAUGGAGACUUGGAUCCUGUGUUGCUGUGGUGUAUGUCGCAGAUGCAGCUUGGAUCCUGUGUUGCUGUGGUGUCGGCUGGCAGAUACAGCUCCGAUUUGACCCCUAGCCUGGGAACCUCUUUAUGAAGCAGGUGUGGCCCUAAAAAGCAAAACAAACAAAACAACCCCACCACUUACCAUUUAAAGGCAGCAAGGCCAUUGUUAGAGGAGAGGGGUUGAAUGCUGAAUUCAUUCACUGGGCGAUUACUGGGGAUCUUGGCAGCACCUUGUUGAGGGUGCUUUCCUGAAAUUGUUGUUUUCUGCCUUUUAACUGGGUGCUGGUGUGAUGGCUUCUGUGUGAGUGUGUUGGUUAAUCCUUGGCUUAACGUGUUCUUUUUGGCACAGCCAGUGGGGCAUUUCCAAAGAUAAAAAUCUGUCAACAGAGGCUGAGUCCUAAUCAGACAGGUGUGGAUGAACUGGAGCAAGAAUGGCAUUGUGGGAGCAGCCCUCUAGUCAGGCGGUAUCUGGGAAGAAGAAUGGGAGAACUAAAAGGGGUGUUGAGCCAGCCAAGGAAUAGGAUCAUGAAGGAGUAUGUUAUAUUUUUGUUGACCAAACGGUCAAACUCUACACAUCCCACUUAGCUUUAAACUUUAAACUUCUUGGGUCAAGGAAGAUGAAAGGACAGAGGAACUGAAAAACCAUCUACUGAAUCCCCUUCACAUACUUAUCAAAGCUCUCAGUGUGAGCUUCUAGGACUGAGGACUUCUUAAACAGCAUUGUUGAUUCUUCUUCUGAUUCUUAAUUCCUACAGAACUCACACUCUAGCCCAUCACUCAUUUCUCCAACUGUACUGAACUUCCUGAAAGAGUCCCCCCCACUCACUGCCUCACAUGUCCACCUGCUAGUCAUCCUUCUUUCCUGGUCUUCUGAGUGUGGUACAAGGACCACACUGUCUUAUUCUAGUUUCUCUGAAGGCAUUGAGUGCAAUGCUUUGCUCAUGGCGUGUGUUAAUAAAUAUCAGUGAAUGAAGGUUGUUAGUGUAAUGUAAAAUUUGCCUCCAGAUCCAGGACAUAAUUGCCUUGAGGGCACAUACCACAUGUUAUGUUUUAUAUCAUCCUCAGCAUCUUGCAUGAGGUUACAUUUUCAGCAGGUACUUGGUACAUACAAACUGCAUUCAUAAAACUAAAAACUGGGAGAAAAUCAUUAACCCUUUUAUUUUUAACCCUCAAAUGCCUCCUCUUUUUCUAUAUAGAAACAAGGGAACAGUGUAGUGGGGGGAAGAAAUACUGACUGGGAGUCAGGAGCCUUGGUUUCUAGGCUGCCUCUCCCACUGAUGAGCUCAUAUCAGGCAUGCAUGAACCCACGUGGAGACUCAGACGAUGAGAGAGAAGUAGGAUGGAAAGUGUCAUGACUGUUGCAAUUUAGGGUUGGGUGUCUGAAUGCCACAGCUGGGUUUCUCCCAGCCUUUUGGUAUUGGUUAUGGUAAUGGGAUGCUUUAAGAUGACACAAUUAAUAUACUUAAUCAGGUGCAAGUUUAAGUUCCUUUCAAUUGGCCUGAAAGCAGCAGAAAUUGUAUAGUUUGCUUCCUGGGAGAUUGUUGCCUAAGACCAAUAAUUCACUUGUGUCUAUACAGCUGUGAUUUGCUAUUCACUGGCAGUGUGACUAAUUCCACCAGUGACACCACCCCUUGGAAGAAAGUGAGCUUCUAAAGCAACUUGUUCAUGGGUAUCUGUGAGGAGCAUUGUUGGUAGGAUGCUGGGCUCCUCUUUGUUGUUACUGGUGAGGCUCAAUCCACCUCUGAGAGUUUUGGAUUAAAGUUGGCACAAUUUCCCAAGGUCAUGUCUGUUUUCUGUGGAGCCUCUCCUGGCCUAUACCCAUGAUUCUUGUUAGACUUUUCCUGUUGUGUUUUUCUCUAUAUUGUAAUAGCUCUCUGGAUGGAGUAGACGUGUUUCUAAGGGCUCUGAAAGCAUUUUUUUUUUUUUUUUGAAGUGGGACAAAGUGAUGGUGUUGAGAGCACAAACAUGAAAACAUCAGGCUGGGUUUGGCAUACCACUGCAUUGGAAGAAAGCAAUCAGUCUUCUGGAUAAGGGUGAAGUGGCUAAGAAAGCAUGUAAAAGCAUCUGAUAGCUACUGUUGAUCUUGAAAGAGUUAAACAUUGGAGUGGCUUUUUACUGUUUGAUUGUGUUUAGUUUUGUUCUUAAAAUAAAAGAGAACUUAAAAAAAAUCAUGUUUCACGAACGUGCCAGGUUGGAUUAUUUUCCCCUGUCAGUUUGGCAAUCAACAGUAAUAAAAACCCGGAUAUAAAAUUUUCAUACAUUUACAGUAGUAUGAAGACAUUAAGUGAAAACCCUUUAAAACAUUUUCCAUUUUCAUUUCACUUAGCAGGUGCUACAUAUCAAGCUAUUAUUUACCCAGCUAAAAUGAGCAGGAAAGUGAUCCAAGUUCGUGAAGUGCCUCCAGACAACUUGCACAAUUGUUGUUUUCUCUUUUUGAUGAUGCCCAGCUGAAGGGAUUAGUUUGAGCACAGAUCAGAUCAAGGUGAUGGGAAAGUGACUCAGGAUUACUUGGAGGGUGCUGAGGUUAGCUGUGGUCAGCUUGCCAGUGGAAAACCUCAUUUUUAUGCCUGUACUGCCUGGAGAGCCCCUAGGUAUGGAGGCAGUUUUAUUUAAGCCAUGGCCAGGCUAGUGGUGUAAAGCAGCAUGGGUAAUUCAAAGUGAGCAGAUAAUCCUCAAGAAAGUUCUGUUUGGCUUUGGAAGGAACAAAGUAUAUUAACAAUAGCUUAUAUUUAUGGCUCUUUCCAGUUGAAAAAGUGCUGUUGUGUACCACUGGGAUGUCUGCCCUUGAGGAAACCCAGGUAUUGCCUCUAGUUUUAUUCUUACUUAGACACAU